AUUGAACGCUGGCGGCAGGCUUAACACAUGCAAGUCGAGCGGGGGAAGGUAGCUUGCUACCGGACCUAGCGGCGGACGGGUGAGUAAUGCUUAGGAAUCUGCCUAUUAGUGGGGUACAACAUCUCGAAAGGGAUGCUACUACCGCAUACGUCCUACGGGAGAAAGCAGGGGAUCUUCGGACCUUGCGCUAAUAGAUGAGCCUAAGUCGGAUUAGCUAGUUAGUGGGGUAAAGGCCUACCAAGGCGACGAUCUGUAGCGGGGCCGAGAGGAUGAUCCGCCACACUGGGACUGAGACACGGCCCAGACUCCUACGGGAGGCAGCAGUGGGGAAUAGUGGACAAUGGGGGGAACCCUGAUCCAGCCAUGCCGCGUGUGUGAAGAAGGCCUUAUGGUUGUGAAGCACUUUAAGCGAGGAGGAGGCUACUUUAGUUAAUACCUAGAGAUAGUGGACGUUACUCGCAGAAUAAGCACCGGCUAACUCUGUGCCAGCCGCCGCCGUAA
rnacentral:rRNA from 1 species